rnacentral:rRNA from 1 species
AGGGUUUGAUCAUGGCUCAGAUUGAACGCUGGCGGUAGGCUUAACACAUGCAAGUCGAGCGGUAACAGACAUUUUGAUUUUGCUUGCAAAAUCUCGUGCUGACGAGCGGCGAACGGGUGAGUAACGCGUAGGAAUCUACCUAGUAGAAGGGGAUAGCCCGAGGAAACUCGGAUUAAUACCGUAUACGUCCUUAGGGAGAAAGAGGGCUUAGCUUUGAUGCUCUCGCUAUUAGAUGAGCCUGCGUAAGAUUAGCUUGUUGGUGAGGUAAAGGCUCACCAAGGCGACGAUCUUUAGCUGGUCUGAGAGGACGAUCAGCCACAUUGGGACUGAGACACGGCCCAGACUCCUACGGGAGGCAGCAGUGGGGAAUAUUGGACAAUGGGCGCAAGCCUGAUCCAGCCAUACCGCGUGUGUGAAGAAGGCCUUCGGGUUGUAAAGCACUUUAAGUAAGGAAGAAAAGAGUAUUGUUAAUACCAAUACUCCGUGACAUUACUUACAGAAUAAGGACCGGCUAAUUCCGUGCCAGCAGCCGCGGUAAUACGGAAGGUCCAAGCGUUAAUCGGAAUUACUGGGCGUAAAGCGCGCGUAGGUGGUUUAUUAAGUUGGGUGUGAAAGCCCCGGGCUCAACCUGGGAACUGCAUCCAAAACUGAUUCACUAGAGUACGAAAGAGGAAAGUAGAAUUCACAGUGUAGCGGUGGAAUGCGUAGAUAUUGUGAAGAAUACCGAUGGCGAAGGCAGCUUUCUGGUUCUGUACUGACACUGAGGUGCGAAAGCGUGGGUAGCGAACAGGAUUAGAUACCCUGGUAGUCCACGCCGUAAACGAUGACAACUAGCUGUUGGGAAGCUAUGCUUUUCAGUGGCGCAGCUAACGUCUUAAGUUGUCCGCCUGGGGAGUACGGCCGCAAGGUUAAAACUCAAAUGA